rnacentral:rRNA from 1 species
CACUCCUACGGGAGGCAGCAGUGGGGAAUUUUGGACAAUGGGCGAAAGCCUGAUCCAGCCAUGCCGCGUGCAGGAUGAAGGCCUUCGGGUUGUAAACUGCUUUUGUACGGAACGAAACGGCCUUUUCUAAUAAAGAGGGCUAAUGACGGUACCGUAAGAAUAAGCACCGGCUAACUACGUGCCAGCAGCCGCGGUAAUACGUAGGGUGCAAGCGUUAAUCGGAAUUACUGGGCGUAAAGCGUGCGCAGGCGGUUAUGUAAGACAGUUGUGAAAUCCCCGGGCUCAACCUGGGAACUGCAUCUGUGACUGCAUAGCUAGAGUACGGUAGAGGGGGAUGGAAUUCCGCGUGUAGCAGUGAAAUGCGUAGAUAUGCGGAGGAACACCGAUGGCGAAGGCAAUCCCCUGGACCUGUACUGACGCUCAUGCACGAAAGCGUGGGGAGCAAACAGGAUUAGAUACCCGAGUAGUCCCAUGA